rnacentral:misc_RNA from 1 species
AACGCACAUUGCGCCCCUUGGUAUUCCAUGGGGCAUGCCUGUUCGAGCGUCAUUUGUACCCUCAAGCUUUGCUUGGUGUUGGGCGUCUUGUCGUAUUACGACUCGCCUUAAAUUCAUUGGCAGCCGGCACUUUGGCCUAGGAGCGCAGCACAUUUUGCGAUCGUAGCCCGUUGUACUGGCGUCCAUCAAGAACAUUUACCACGUUUGACCUCGGAUCAGGUAGGGAUACCCGCUGAACUUAA